ACAAGAUAGACAGGUGGUCAAGUUGCAAAGGUUUUGCUUCUUUAUAUUAUAUAGGAAAAAUUCCGUUCUUGAUAAUUGAGGUCAGUUUAUGGAGGUGUCAAACUUACAAGGGUGGUCAACUUGGCAGGUUUCACUGUAAUUCCUUUAAUAAAUAAUUUUUAUUUUUCACAGAAGUCGAAGGGAAGACCAGGUGUUCCUUCAUCAUCAUGGUAGCUAUGAAACUACAUUUGAUGCAGAUGGCAAUGCAGAAACAGUAUCCACACAUUCCAGAUAUGAGCGUCUUUCCAAAAAGUCUGACGAUGCUCUUUCUCAUAGGUCAUUAGGUCGUGAAAGUACACAUGGACGCAGUAGUGAGAGAUAUGAGCAGAAGAGGGGCAAUGAUCCUAUUCUUCCAGCUGUUUUAGAAUUCUGGGAAGAUGGUGAAGAAGCUUUUCUAGCUGCAUCAAUUUCUCAGCUAGAUCCUAGUCAAGUGCUGUCACCAACAUAUGCUCUGUCUAUGGCUGCUCGAUAUCGUGCCUCUACACAUUUUAGGCCCGAAACUACCCCCAAAUGAUCGUGCUCAUAGGCUGACAGCUUUGAUGAACAAUGUAGUAGCUGUAAUGCAUCAAGUUAUACAGGAUGGAUAUCGAGAUGCAACUAUCCUGGCUUUUUGGCUUGCUGAUACUUCUGAAUUGCUUCAUUUUCUGAAAUAAGAUCGCCUUUUAGUGAAUAUACUCUUAAUGCCCAAGAUUUACUAGCAGAAAGUGUUCUUGCGAAGUCUUGUAACGUGUCAACAGUAGAACAUUCAAGAUGCAAUGCCAGCUUUCCUUGAAGAUCGUGAUGAUGUCAAUGAAGAAGAGGGUACAACUGCUAAGUUUUAUAUGAGGUGUCUGUUCUCAGCUGAUGUUUUAGCUGUGUCUGUCACUUUUGAGGCGAUGCCGUGUCAAUGCAGUCAUCCAGAUGUUUUCACUUCAUCAACUGUUCAAUAAAGUUGUAUGUGAAACCAGAAUGAACGAGACUUUGGGGUACAAGACUAAAGAGAAGGUUGGGACGCGUGGAAGCAUAGACUGAGAAAAAAGGAUUGCUGCUGAUUGUCUUCUCAGUCGUAUUGUGCAGGUAAUUUUGUAUUUUUCGCAAUUGCACUUUUAUAUAUAAAAAUAGCACUAUUUUUUAUACUGCAGUGAUUCUACUAUAUCAGGGGUGGCCAAACUCCUUGAUAGUCGAGCCAUUUUUCAAAAUUUGAAAUUUUUCGCGA